CACAUCCCAUGUGCCCUGCUGUAAAUAGAAAGUCAUGUCAGAUGCUAUUUUGGAUGUGUAGGUGCUAAUCCUCACAAAAUGAGACAGAGGAUUGUUGUGGGAACUGUGUACUAGUGACAAUAUUUCAUGAUGGCUUCGGUUAGGGAGGCAAGUAUGAGCUGACUUGUCCCCUAUUGUGCGGUAGCUAACUGAUAAUCCUGUGGUGGGAAUGGAAAGUGUAAGGUGCUGUAUUUCUACUAAAGCUCUUCUCUGCUAAGCCUGAGAUUCUCUUUCAUGAACAACUGCAGGGGAACCUCACACCAUAUAAGGAGGAGCAGGAGCACUAGGAGACAGGUGCAGCCCCUGCCUUUAGGCACACAAAGGUUGAGUGAGAAGAAAGCACUUUCCACCCCUUUCCGGCCUCUCAUCCUGCUCUCCAGUGGAGGCCCCAUAGGCCACAGAAGAUCUUCCAGGUGCCAAAGUGAACACUGAAGGGAGCUGUAUUUAUGCACAGACAAAAUCCUGAGAAAAUUAAUGAGAGAAGGCAUAGCCUGAAAAGUGCUUAUCCAUCUCCUGGUUCUCCUGCUGUCACUUUGCCUCAUAUGGAUGGAACCUCCACUGGAGUCCUUCGUAAAAGAGAAUCUCAGUCUGCAAGGAGAAGGUUGUUAGUAGAAAAAGGGACACCUGUUUUUAUGCCACUUAAAUAUCAAAGUGCUCGUGGUGGGAGAUAGCUGAUAUUUGCUUCUUUGAACUCAUCAUAAAAUUGUUGUCACUUUUAUAAAUGAAAAUAUUUAAGCCAAGAAAUGACAUGGUCAUAUUUCCAUUUAAAAAAUUUUAAAUAUAUCAGAUAAAAUACUUAUACUAAAAUUUGGAAAGUGCAAAUAUCAAGAAGGAAGAAAUAACAGUCACCAGGAGUCACACCAUUUUGGGGCAAUAAUUUAAAAUACUGAAAAUGCUCCAGUGAAAAUAAUCUCCAGACUUUUGAUGCAUCUGUAUUAAUGUAGUUCACCUAUUUUUAUAUUUCAUAUACUCAAUUGUAUAUUUUACAUAUAUAGUUUAUGUAUGUCAAUUUUAUCAAUGUAUGUAUAUUCCACUUAUUCUUUUACAAAAAAAAGUCAACUUGUAAUGCUAUUUUAAAGUCUUUCUCCAUGUCACCAUAACUCCAGUGUUACUGUGAAUAGCCAUUUUCAAGUUUAAAUUGGGGAGGAUCCUCUGGUAAGGGUAGGACUUCCGCUGGAGGGCAAGUUGAUAGAACAGUUAGGAGGCUGGAGAAGCUUUUCUUCUCACACCAUAAGCCCUGAGGGCAGGGACUGCCUUCUGCACAGGGGCUCAGAGAGCAUUCCAAAAUAGCAGCAGUGAGGACCUCCUGAUGCAAGUGGUUCAAUCUCAUGGACGAAUUGGACAGAAGACAGUGAGUCUGCCAAGGAUGAUUGGCCUGUCUCUGCUGUGGCCGUCCCUUCCAGUCUAGGAGGAUAAUUACUCCGUCAGUGCUGAAGGGGAAGGAUUGAUGUUUCUGGUAAUGUGUUCAAUAGAGAAUAGCAGUUGUCAACAUCAAUUAGCUCACCAAUGAAAUCAAUAUAAAAUAGAAGCUCCUGGGACUUGAUAAUGAAAUGAUAUAAUUAAGAGGAAUUUGGCAACAUUCCAAAGAGGAGGCUGGAUAAACUGGCUUUUUGUGUAUCCAACCCAUCUCACUCCCAGUAUCACAAAGAGACUGUCCAUUAAGAGAAAGAUUGCUGUCACUGUGGGUGUACGUGAAGGAAGGAGGGCUAAAGUCUGUUCUACUCUUUGUUGUGUGAACAGCUGCAGAGACCAGCCUGUGACACUCAACUAAAAGGUUUCCUAACUCAGUUCCACACCCCUUGAUUUAUGCUCUAGAAAUGCAUGUCAGACAUGCUUACUUUAAAAAGAAUCACUGAUUUUAGAGAAAAAUUUCAGAAGUAGGGCGGGCAUAAUUAUAAUAAUGUCUCAAAUUUUCACAGUGCUUCAGUUUGGAAUCAAAGUACAGUUGUUAUUAUUCCUAUAAGUGAUAAAGUGGUCUUUUUCUAAAUGGCCAAAAGUUAAAAAAAAAAAAAAAAAAAAAGGCCAAAAGUACGGAUUCAAGUAUUCAAAAGAAAGGCUUUCAAGCCAUUAUUUGCGCAACCCCUUUCUUUUAUUCCUGAUUAAUACUCUAAAUAAGAUUGAUUAUUCACCAUCUAUCCACCCAACAAAUACUUUUUAAAUGUCUGCUUUGCAUGCUGUAUUUUUCUAGACUAUACAGCAAAUAAGAAAUCAGAUAAAACUUCCUGCCUUUGAGGAAUUUAUACUAUAACUGAAGCAAGGACAGAGAGCAAUAGAGAAUAAACAAUUAUAUUCGAGAAAUAUGUAGGCUGUCAAGUGGUAGAUACUUUGGAGAAGAAUAAAGCAGGAUAAAGGGAUAAAGCAUGCAAGCUUAGGAAGGUAGGAUGAAGCUUUUUGAAACUGGGCUGUCUGAGAGGCCUUAUUGAUAAGAUUUGGGCAGAGGUGGCAAGAUGGUAAGGGGCAAGCCAGGCAGAUAUCAGUGUGAAAGAGCUGAUUAGAAGGAAAGAAUAAGUUAGACAAUGGAAAGGAAGAGGUUGCUUGCCUUUGAGGGAGGAGGCAAAGAACAUCAUUACAUUCCCAUAAAAGGAAGAAUGAAAUGAUGGAAAAAAGAGGAGGAAAUCAGGUCAGAAAUGUAAGGGACUGUAUGCCUAAAGGAAUGAACACAUCAAGCAGGCUGUGCUAAGCAAAAGGGAAAAAUAAAACAAAUAAAAAUAAAGGAAUCAACAACAGAAGAAUAAUGCAAUAACAAGAAUCAGUCAAUACCUUUCAGUAAUAAUUUUCAAUUAAAUGGUUUUAACUAGCCAAUCAAAAAAUACCGAUUGGCAAAUUAGAUCCAGAAACAAAAUUCAAUUCUGUGUUACAUACAAGAGACACAUUUAAUUCAUAAAGAAACAAGUAAACUGAAAAUUAAAAGAUGGAAAAUGAUAUACUAUGUAACAGAAACCUGAAAGCAAGCAGAAGCAGCUAUCCAAUUUUCAGACAAAGUGGACUUCAAGCUAUAAAUCAUCAAAAGAGGCAAAGAAGGUCACUACAUUCUCAUAAAGGGAACAAUUCAAGAAGAGGAGAAUACAAUUGUAAAUGUAUAUACACUGAAUGCCUGCACACUGAACUACUUAAAAUACAUACUACCGAACAUAAAUAAUCAUAUAACCAUCAGCACAAUCAUAGUGAGGGACAGCAAUACCCUGCUAUAUCACAAAUAGGUCACCUAGACAAAAAAAAAGUCAACAAAGAAAUAUCAGAGUUCAACCACACUUUCAAACAAGUGGUUGUAAUAGAUACCUACAGUGUACCACCAAGCAACAACAGAAUACACAUUCUUCUCAGCACCACAUGAUACUUUCUCCAAAAUAGACCACACCCUAGGCCAUAAAAAAUCCUGAAAUAAAUACAAAGAAUUAAAAUAACCUCAUGCAUGUACUAUGAAACUAGAAAUUAAUGGCAAAAGAAAUCACAGAAAUUAUGCCAACAUAUGGAGAUUAAAUGAUACAUUCAUGAGUAAUCAAUAUGUCACAGAAGAAAUCAAGGAAGAAUUUUAAAACAUCAUAGAAUCAAAUGAUAAGGACAAUGUAACAUACCAGCACAUAUGAAAUACAAUUAAAACAAUCCUAAGGGGGAAGUUUAUAGCUUUGUAUGCACACACUGGAAAAACAGACUGUUAUGGCUUGUAUUUAGAUGUCUCCCCAAAGCCUCCUGCUUUUCUAAAGGUGGUUGAAUCUAGAGUGUGUGAUUGAUUCAUGGUGGGGCUAGGCUGGAAGGCACUGGGAUUAAGGGCAUGAGUGCUAUCCACCCUAAGUAGUCUGAAUAAGAUAAAAAGGGGCAGGAAGAUACUGAUAAGGUUUCCUUGUUACUUUUGCUACCUUGUGCACACCCUAUUGUUUCUCCUCUGUGAUGCGUGUUUGCCAUCUCUGCCUUGGAGGCAGCUGAUUAUGGACUGAAACCUCUACGAACUAUGAGCAAAUAAACCCUUUCCCCUUUAACUUUGGAUGUUGGGUAUUUUGUCUCAGCAGAGAGAAAGGUAACUAAGACACAGACCUAUUCCAAAUAAAUAAUCUAAUGAUACACCUCAAGGUCCUGGAAAAAGAAGAGAAAUCCAAGUCCAAAACUG
ensembl:lncRNA